GUGCUUUCUUUGGCAGCACAUAUACCAAAAUUGGAACCAUACAGAAAAGAUUAGCGAGACCCCUGUGAAAGAAAGCCAGGCAAAUUUGCAAAGUGUUCCAUACUUUU
ensembl:snRNA U6 U6 spliceosomal RNA